rnacentral:rRNA from 1 species
GAUAAACGCUGGCGGCGUGCUUAACACAUGCAAGUCGAACGAAGUUUUUCUUUCUGGAGGAACUUAGUGGCGGACGGGUGAGUAACGCGUGGGUAACCUGCCCUGUACAGGGGGACAACAGCUGUAAACGGCUGCUAAUACCGCAUAAGCCCUUAGCACUGCAUGGUGCAUAGGGAAAAGGAGCAAUCCGGUACAGGAUGGACCCGCGUCUGAUUAGCCAGUUGGCAGGGUAACGGCCUACCAAAGCGACGAUCAGUAGCCGAUCUGAGAGGAUGUACGGCCACAUUGGGAAUGAGACACGGACCAGAAUCCUACGGGAAGCAGCAGUGGAGAAUAUUGCACAAUGGAGGAAAAUCUGAUGCAGCGACGCCGCGUGAGUGAAGAAGUAUGUCGGUAUGUAAAGCUCUAUCAGAAGGAAAGAAAAUGACGGUACCUGACAAAGAAGCACCGGCUAAAUACGUG